GAUGAACGCUGGCGGCGUGCUUAACGCAUGCAAGUCGUACGUGAAGGGGUUUUCGGACUCCUGAAAGUGGCGAACGGGUGAGUAAUACGUAGAUGACCUGCCUUAAGGUGGGGGAUAACUACUGGAAACGGUGGCUAAUACCGCAUAGAGCUGUGACCGUUGGGAGGUUGCAGGGAAAGCUCCGGCGCUUAGAGAGGGGUCUACGUCCGAUUAGCUAGUUGGUGGGGUAAAGGCCUACCAAGGCGACGAUCGGUAGCUGGUCUAAGAGGACGAUCAGCCACACGGGAACUGAGACACGGUCCCGACUCCUACGGGGGGCAGCAGCGAGGAAUAUUGGGCAAUGGGCGAAAGCCUGACCCAGCAACGCCGCGUGAAGGAAGAAGGCCUUCGGGUUGUAAACUUCUUUUGUGGGGGAAGAGAGAGGACGGUACCCUGCGAAUAAGUCACGGCUAACUACGUGCCAGCAGCCGCCGUAA
rnacentral:rRNA from 1 species